GUUUCGCAUCGACUGUAUGUUCGGCUUGGACUCUGACAAAAUACUGACUGACGGCUGACGAGCUGUAAUUAUCAACGGCCUUGUUCAAAACCUCAAAGAGAUUAAAGGGUUAUUACGAAAGAUAGUUGGACUGUGAAACGAGAGAAUUAUAAGGGAGAUUAUGAGGGGUUUUAAUGAAGAGAACGUUGAGCAUUCGAUAACGGUCGUCGUCGUGUUGAACAAUAUUUAAGCCGAGAAGACAAUGUCACACCACAGAGAAACUUACCACUUUGAUCGACUAUCGAUUACGUCUGGUAGUCGCGAACCUUCUGAUACGUGACCGACGACAGAUUACUCUUAUUAUUACUCUCAUAUAGUCAUGAUGGAUUUAUUUCUAAACCGUAGCAAUUAAAGACGAUAUACUUCAUCGCGAAAUUUAAUAAGUGUAUUCGUAAAGUCAAAUUUAACGAUUUGCCUCGUUUUAAUUUAUUCGAUUCAUGUAUAGUGUUUAGAUAGGUAUAUCCACACCAAAACUACAGCUAGAACAUCUUUGUCUGAUACAGAGAAUUGAAAAACUUAUCGUAAAAAAAAACUUCCCUCAAUUAAAAGUACUACAUAUUUUUGCACUGAUGCGGAAGAUAAAUGGAAUUGAUUGCCGCGUGAGAUCGACUGUGAGAUGGAUGAUCAAUUUCAUCGACUAGUUCGUCUCUAUGCACUUGUCCAGGAUAAUCCGGUGGCAACGGGGAGAGGACCUCUUUGGUCAGGGCUUCGAAAGCGUCCAGCAUUACAGCACGUGUCCUAAUGAUCAAGUCGUCGACAUCCUUCAAUUCGAGUCCAUCCGUGAAAAUCGGUUUCAAACAGGAUGAAUGGCAUGCUUCCAAGGGCGAUUAUAGAAGAUACCAAGUAGUAAAGGAUAAACCUAACGUUAAAACGGAUGACGUCAUGACUGUCCGAGCUUAGGACUAGAACAAUCAUGAACAAAAUCGUCACCAACAGAUACA